rnacentral:sRNA from 1 species
GGCAUUUGGUCAGAAAGGCCAUCAUGGUUAACUACGCUGUCCAAUCUCGUUGUUCCCAGGGACCAGCCAAUCCGCUGGCGAACCCCUAUUAUCUGCUACUCUGUGUGGAUGAAUACACGUAUGUGGUCGAUGAAGGCUGAUACAUGAUGCUGAUGAUGAUAAUAUAUUUAUUUUACUUUGAGGGAUCCAGCGUUUCAAAAAGCAUUUCUGGUAAGCAAAUCUCCCCGGGUUGGUUGAUAAGUCAUAAGAUAAGAGCUCUCUGGAUUUUUUUCUCUUUUUUAUUGUCCAUCAGCCCAGCCGAGAAAGCGGUGUAAAUAAGAAACACACACACAAUAAAUUUGAUAAAAUUCGGCCGGCAUCCACCGUCUCGCUGGAACUGGCUGGAACCCGUAGCUGGUGAGAGAGUUGGCUGGCGUUUGGCAUUUGAUU